UGUAAGUCACCUUUCAUCCAGAGCAGAAAUAAUAAAAAGCUGAAGAGACCAUGUUUGAUAAUGUCCAUGUUCUGGUAUCUGGAGACUCACAUAAAUCUGUUAGUGUAGUUACAGAGAGAUGAAGAGUUGCAGGUGGGAGUGUCUCUGCAGCGUGUGACGUUUUCUGAUCCUGUUGGCUGCUGUAUCAAAAUUUGCUUGGUGAAUCAAAGUGACUGAGUAUUUGUGGUACUUGAGGUCCCCCUACAGUACGUGAGAUGGUGGGACAGAGGUGUGCUAACAGUGCACUGGGGUUUUUGUUCAGAUAUUGAGUGUGUUUGUAUCACUGUGCUCACUAACGGCACAGAAGUACAAGCCUUUAUCUUCUGGCACCAGAUUCUUCACAGUGAACGUCCCACUGUGAGCGUCAGGCUUGGUGGCUGAGAAUUUCUCUUUGCUGAAUUCUCCAAAGUCGUGAUCUUUGCUGGCAGUUGUUGUGAACACUAUUUGUUUCAUUGCUUCUCCUGGCCGCUGUCUGUACCAGUACAUCUGGAAAUGUUAUCUGAGAUCACUUCCAACAAAUGAAUAAUUGUCAAGAGCAAAAACAUAAAACAAUAAAAUAACGUAAACUUUUUUUAGUUAAUUUUAUUGCAAAUUACCUGUAAUCCACAGCAAAAACACUGACAAUAUGAGGAGGUCUUGUUUGAUGAUAUCCAUGUUCUGACAGAGAGAGACUGCUCAUAGUUACAGAGACAUGAAGAGUUGCAGGUGUCUCUGCAUUAACACUGUGUAGGUGGGAGGAUCAGUGGAAGUGUAGGUCCCCCUACAGUUCAUCACUGUCAUAAAUGUUACCUGUAAAUCAGAUCUGUAGCACUGACAAGACUGAGCAGAUUUUAUGUUGUGAUGUAUUUUGUGAUGAUAUUUAAAGGGGCAAUAUGUAGUUUUCAGCGGACACUAGCGGUUUGGUUUUAAGAUUGCAACCAGAUGUGGGCUCGUACACGUGCUUGCUUGAAAUCGUAAACUUUUACUGUAUUAAGCCGACGUGAUACAUUGGCGUUAGCUCACCUGCUGCUUUUCAGUAACUAACAUUACUAUUUGUGUAUCUUUUACCGGAGGCUCAGCAAUGUCAGCACAGCUAAAUGGAUGAGAACGAAACGGUUAAUGAGCUGGACUGAAUAUUAUAAAUGACACUGUUGUAAGUAACUUUACUGUAGUGGCUCUUCCAUUGUGGUGUUGUCAUAUUAUGUGGCUCAUGUUAGUUAUGCCGAAUGAGACGGUGGAGAAGCUGUGUACCUGAGUAUCGCUAAAACCACAAUAAAUCUAAAUUGAACUUUACAAAGCACUCAGUGGUAGAUCCGUGCUAAAGUAAGCUGGCUGCUCCUGCCUUGCAUCAAGGCUGCUAUAAACAAAUCGCUCCACAUUGCUUGGUACCGUUACAUCCUGUCUUGCAGGCUAAAAUAAACACUUUGUCAUAAUUCCAGUGGUACACAGGAUAUUUAUAUGAAUCGUGUUAAAUUAAGGAUUAGGAGUGUAAACUUGUGUUUUCAUGCUUACAAUAGACCUGAAGUGCAGUUUCUUGCAGCACAGUGUCAGGAGCCAAGCGUGCGUUUGUUGUGACUGUUUUCUAUCCGACUGCCUCUGUUCAGUAUCAGCACCCUUAUCAUGUGUGUUCCCAGGUUCCCAUCAUCAAACUGACUACUGACUCCUUCACUGAGGUCAAAGUGGACAUCAGCUUCAAUGUGAAGAGUGGCGUUGAAGCCGCUCGGCUCAGCAAGGACUACAAAGAGCUGUCUCUCCUCCCUUAGUAUGUGUGUGUAUGCAGGUAAUGGAGAACAGGAGGGCACACUGGAUUGGUCCUGCAGAGCUGAUUGGAGUCUCCUGAUUGGUCACCUGGAUGACAACAGCCAUCUUAAGCACCACUGACAGGAACUCCUCUCUCUCUCUCUGCCUUUCCCAACCUGAGCCUGUGUACUGUGUGUUAUACCUGUUAGUUGUGAGUAGAAAACUGCUGUGUAGAGUAGACCUUGUAAAUGAAUCUGUGCAGCUUA